rnacentral:rRNA from 1 species
UGGGCGUCGAGCGGCGGACGGGUGAGUAAUGCCUAGGAAAUUGCCUUGAUGUGGGGGAUAACCAUUGGAAACGAUGGCUAAUACCGCAUAAUGCCUACGGGCCAAAGAGGGGGACCUUCGGACCUCUCGCGUCAAGAUAUGCCUAGGUGGGAUUAGCUAGUUGGUGAGGUAAUGGCUCACCAAGGCGACGAUCCCUAGCUGGUCUGAGAGGAUGAUCAGCCACACUGGAACUGAGACACGGUCCAGACUCCUACGGGAGGCAGCAGUGGGGAAUAUUGCACAAUGGGCGAAAGCCUGAUGCAGCCAUGCCGCGUGUAUGAAGAAGGCCUUCGGGUUGUAAAGUACUUUCAGUUGUGAGGAAGGGGGUAACGUUAA